CGUUGAUAGGCCGGGUGUGUAAGCGCAGCGAUGCGUUGAGCUAACCGGUACUAAUGAGCCGUGAGGCUUAACCUUACAACGCCGAAG
rnacentral:rRNA from 1 species